CACGCCCUAAACGAUGAAUGUUAGUCGUCGGAGAGCUCGUCUCUUCGGUGAUGCAGCUAACGCAUUAAACAUUCCGCCUGGGGAGUACGGUCGCAAGAUUAAAACUCAAAGGAAUAGACGGGGACCCGCACAAGUGGUGGAGCAUGUGGUUUAAUUCGAAGAUACGCGAAGAACCUUACCUGGCCUUGACAUUGAUAGAAUCUGCUAGAGAUAGCGGAGUGCCCUUCGGGGAGCUUGAAAACAGGUGC
rnacentral:rRNA from 1 species